CAAGAAGUCAAUCAAGCAUUUGCAUGGAGUAUUUCAUUAAAAGCAUUACCUACAGUAUGACUUGUGGUGCUUCUCAGCUCCACAGAGGUUUGCAUAGUUCUUCCUAUUGACUAGACAAAAGAUGGGUAUUUCUAAUAGAGUGUUUUGAUCAUAUAUUAGCAUGAUCAUUUAUUUUACUUUACUUUUGAAAGAUAAACAUGUUUUACCACAUAUGAUUUUUAUAGGGGAUAUAUUCCCCUUUACUUACUGAUUUUCUUUUCAGAUUUAUUUUAUGUGUGCAUGUUUUGCCUCUAUGUGUGCCUAUGCAGCAACUGUGUGUUUGGUGCCCAGAAAGGUCAGAAAACGGCAUCAAAUGUUCUGGAACUAGACUUACAGAUGAUUUUGUGCCAGCAUGUGGGCACUGAGCAUUGAACCUGCGUUCUCUUAAACAUUGACACAUGUCUCUAGCCCCCACAUUAUGAUUUCUGAAAUUAUGGUUAUUGCGGAAAUAUAUAUGGACUGUUAGAUUAUAUUUUAGAUAACUUUUCAAACAAGCCUAUUGUGAAACAUAAAAGGUUUUAAAAACCUAUUUUGAACAUGGCCAACUCUAUUCUGUAGGUACAUUGUACUUGAAGUGUUUGCUCUUGUAUAUAUUAACUAGUAGUGAAUGAGAUGAUAAUGAAGAAAUUUAAGAGUUCUUACAGUUUCGAAUAGAAAUUAAAUCAUUUCACCAGUACCUUUUCUUUUUCUUCUUCCUAUUUUGAAGAAAAUUAAUGUGAAAUGGAAGUGUAAUGUAUAAAAAUAGUAACAGGAAAUAGAUAACUUUCUGAAAUAAAUGUACUAAAUAGAUGGUUGUAUCUCAUAAACUUUUAAAUAUUCUUAUUUUCCAAUCUAAAUAAAUAACUGAUAUAGAAUAUUUUUGAAAGAUUAUGUGAUAUUUAGAAAUUAUGUUCUGUGAAAUUUCUUUCACUCACUUGGUAAUUUUGAAUGUAGAGAUAGUACAGACUUUUCUAGUACUAAAGCAUUACCUUUGCUGUGAAGGAGUAUGUAGUUUCUAUUGUGAGCAUGUUAUGAUUAAAAUGUGUGAUACUCAAAUACAAAUAAGUGAAUUAAAGACAAAUUUUCAUUAAAGAUAGACUUUGAGAUUUCGUUAGUGGACUAAAGUGGCAGUUCAAAUAGAGAUGAUAGUGCCACCAGUGGGUGAGCACCAAACAAAGAAACCUUGAGCAGUAGAAUAAUAAUAACCUAGACACAGAAAAUCAGAGCCUCAGUAGCACGUCCAUGGAUAUGAAGAUGACAGAUGGCUUAGAGCUGUGGGACUUGCAUCUUAAGAGCUUGUUUGUUGAUAAGGGUAAAAAACACUAUUGGAAACACACAUGAUUUAUUCUUGAUUAUGUGAAAUUUGUUGGAUAUAUUCAAGUUAUGAAAAAGUCUUUUAGAGCAAGACUAUAUGUUAAUUUUUAUAAAGUUUUUUUCUAUCAUUUUGAAGCCCUGUGUUGAAUUAGAAUAAUAAAGGCAAACAUAUUUGGGACAUAUUCACCUGAAGGUCAUAAUUUUACUCAUAGAGAUGGAAAUAAAAUUACUGGAACUUCCAUGGUGGUACCCGUUAGAAUUUAAAAUACAUGUAUUGGGAUCUGUUCUCAGCUUGAUAAGAUGUAGAAUCUCUGUAGACAUGGGCCUCUGGGCAUGGCUGCAAAACAUACUUAAGGGAACUGAGGUGGUGAGACACACCUCUCUAGGCAGCACUGUUCCCUGUCUGGGAUUCUGAACUAUAUGAAAAGGAAAAUGUGAGCAAAUGCAAGCUUUCUUCCUUCAUCAGCUUUGAUAUAGAACUGUGGUUGCAGUGUGACCAGCUGCCUCAAGCUCCUGUAACUUCCUCACCGUGCUUGAUUCUAAACCUUAAACUGUGAAUCAAAAUAAAUCCUAUAUUAUUUUAGUUGCUUUUCUCAGCACAUUUUAAUCCCAGCAACAGGAAAGCACUCAGCAAUUUUGUUUCUAGUAAUUAUAAUCCAAGAAAUAAAGAUAUGUGACCAAGUAGUAUAUGGAUAAACACUUUUAUUAUACAACUGUGGAAUCUUGAAUGAACGUUCAGUAAGUGACUUGCUUAAAUAUCUAAAAUGUUGUAAGAUGAGAGAGUACAAAGCAUGCUGCUGUCAUGCUGAGAGAAAUGUAGGUCAUGACCAUGUGUAUGUACAUUCCUUUCUCCCUGUGUGAAUAUCUCAUUGUCCACUGGAAUUUAGAACUGGCUUUGGGACUCAGUACAGUGUGGAAGGAAGCUAAUUCACUUGUGUAUUCUUCUUUAAUUUGUGUAUUGCAUACAGAUAUUUAAUACUUAAUAUUUAAAAAUAUGAAUGGGUGGAUGACUAGGGAGAGAAUUACAGAGUGGAAUAGAAAUAGAAAUCUAUAGGCAAAAUGUAGAGGAACACUAAGUGCAGGGCAGGCCACAAAUUAACAAUAUAAUUAACUUUUAAAGUCUAAUAAUGUCAGAAAUCAGAAUGUUUAGCACUAAUGUGCUAAAACCAUGCUUAGUAAUUUAGUUGGUAUUACAUUUAGAUGAGAAGUAUAAAAAUACUGGAGAAAUGCAAUAUCUGAAAACCAAAGUAAUUCAAAUUUGUUUGAAGAAGUCUCCACUUAAACCUUUUGCCAAAUUGUCUUUAGUUCUAUACAUUUUAAGACUUACAAAAAGAAGAUUUACAAAUUGGGCUUCUGUGAUCUCUCACAGGCUCAAAUUUCAUGAAAGAUAGAGAUUCAUGACAUGGAAGAAUUCUGUGGAUCUGAUAUAUUGUUACUGUUCUGCUCAGUGCUUUCUCUAAGAACUCAGUAGCCUACCAUUUCCUAACUUGACCAUUCAGGCUUGUUAGUACUGCAUACAAUUGUAUAAAUGUCUUUGAUGAAAUUCAUUUUAAUUUUUUUCUUUUUUUUUUUACUGGAUUUUUUAUUUUACAUUUCAAAUGUUAUUCCUGUUCUUGAUUUCCUGUCCAUAAGCCCCGUAGCCCAUUCCACCUCCCCCUUCUUCUAUGAGGAUGUUCCCCUUCCCCAACUACCUCUUUCCCACCUCCCUGCCCUGACAUUUACCUACACUGGAGGGGGAGUCCAGCAUUGGCAGGACAAAGGGGGUGCCCAAGAAGGCCAUCCUCUGCUACAUAAGCAGCUGGAGCCGUGGAGUAUAAGCCAUUGGUGUUCUGUUCAGAAAAAUUUCCCCAAUGCCCAUGUGUUUGAGGCCCUUAACACAUUUUUCUUCUAUUAGUUUGAGUGUAUCUGGUUUCAUGUGGAGAUUUUUGAUCCACUUUGACUUGAGCUUUGUACAUGGUGAUAAGAAUGGAUUGAUUUACAUUCUUCCACAUACUGACCUUCAGUUGAACACCAGCACCAUUUGUUGAAAAUGCUAUGUUUUUUCCACGGAUGGUUUUAGCUCCUUUGUCAAAGAUCAAGUGACCAUAGGUGUGUGGGUUCAUUUCUGCGUCUUCAAUUCUAUUCCAUUGAUCCACAAGUUGUUUAUCAGACUUAGUAGUUCUCUGGUGGAACUUUUGGGGUCACUUAAGUAUAUUACCAUAUCAUCUGCAAAUAGUGAUAUUUUGACUUUUUCCUUUUCAAUUUGUAUCCAUUUGACCUCCUUUCAUUGUCUGAUUGCUCUGGCUAGGACUUUGAGUACUAUACUGAAUAAGUAGGGAGAGAGUGGGCAGCCUUGUCUAGUCCCUGAUUUUAGUGGGAUUGCUUCAAGUUUCCCUCAAUUUAGUUUGAUGUUGGUGCUUGGUUUGCUGUAUGUUGCUUUUACUAUGUUUAGGUAUGUGCUAUGAAUUUCUGAUCUUUCCAAGAUUUUUAACGUGAAAGGGUGUUGACUUUUGUCAGAUGCAUUUAAUGAGAUGAUCAUGUGGUUUUUUUCUUUGAGUUUGUUUACAUAGUGGAUUAUGUUGAUGGAUUUCCGUAUAUUGAACAAUCCCUGCAUGCCUGGAAUGAAGCCUACUUAAUCAUAAUGGAUGAUAGUUCUGAUGUGUUCUUGGAUUCGAAUCGUGAGAAUUUUAUUGAGUAUUUUUGUGUCGAUAUUCAUAAAGGAAUUUGGCCUGAAGUUCUCUUUCUAUGUUGGAUCUUUGUGUGGUUUCAGUGUAAGAGUAAUUGUGGCUUCAUAGAAGGAAUUGUGUAGUAUUCCCUCUGUUUCUAUUUUGUGGAAUAGUUUGGACAGCAUUGGUAUUAGGUCUUCUAUGAAGGUCUGAUAGAAUUCUGCACUAAACCCAGCUGGUCCUGGGCUUUUUUGGUUGGGAGAUUUUAAUAACUGCUUUUAUUUCUUUAGAGUUAUGGGACUGUUUAGAUGGUUUAUCUGAUCCUGAUUUAACUUUGAUACCUGGUAUCUGUCUAGAAAAUUGCCCACAUUUUCAUCCACAUUUUCCAUUUUUGUUGAGUAUAGGCUUUUGUAGUAGGAUCUGAUGAAUUUUUUUUUAAUUUCCUCAGAAUCUGUUGUUAUGUCUUCCAUUUCAUUUCUAAUUUUGUUAAUUUGGAUAAACUCUUUCUGCCCUCAGGUUAGUCUGGCUAGGGGUUUAUCUGACUUCUUUAUUUUCUCAGUGAACCAGUUCCUGGUUUUGUUGAUUUUUUUUUUUUUGUAUAGUUCUUUUUGUUUCUACUUGGUGGAUUUCAGCCCUGAGUUUGAUUAUUUUCUGUCAUCUACUCCUCUUGGGUAUAGUGGCUUCUUCUUGUUCUAGAGCUUUUAGGUGUGCUCUCAAGCUCCUAAUGUAUGCCCUUGGCAGUUUCUUUUUGGAGUCACUCAGAGCUAUGAGUUUUCCUCUUAGCACUGCUUUCAUUGUGUCCCAUAAGUUUGGGUGUGUUGUGCUUUCAUUGUCAUUAAAUUCUAAACAGUCUUUAAUCUCUUUAUUUUUUCUUUGACAAAGUUGUCAUUGAGUAGAGGGUUGUUCAGCUUCCAUGUGUGUAGGGGCUUCCUGUCGCUUUUGUUGGUAUUGAGGACCUAUCAUAGUCCACAGGAUCUGAUAGGGCGCAUGGAAUCAUUUCAGUCUUCUUGUAUCUGUUGAGGCCUGUUUUGUAACUGAUUAUAUGGUCAAUUUUGGAAAAGGUACCAUGAGGUACUAAGAAGAAUGAAUGUUCUUUUGUUUUAGGAUGAAAUGUUCUAUAAAUAUUUGUUAAAUCCAUUUGGUUCAUAACUCCUUUUAGUUUUUCUGUGUGUCUGUUUAGUUUCUGUUUCCAUCAUCUGUCCAUUGAUGAGAGUGGGGUGUUGAAAUCUCUCAGUAUUAUUGUGUGAGGUACAAUGUGUGCUUUGAGCUUUAGUAAGGUUUCUUUUAUGAAUGUAGGUGCCUUUGCACUUGGAGCAUAGAUAUUCAGGAUUAAGAGUUCAUCUUGGUGGAUUUUUUCUUUGAUGAAUAUUAAGUGUCCUUCCUUAUCUUUUUUGGGUGACUUUUGGUUGAAAGUUGAUUUUAUUCAAUAUUAGAAUGGCUACUCCAACUUGUUUCUUGGGACCAUUUGCUUGGAAAGUUGUUUUCCAGCCUUUUACUCUGAGGUAGGAUCUGUCCUUGUCACUGAGGUGUGUUUCCUGUAUGCAACAAAAUGCUGGGUCCUCUUUAUGUAUCCAGUCUGUUAAUCUGUCUUUUUAUUAAGGAAUUUAGUCCAUGGACAUUAAGAGAUAUUAAGAAAUAGUGAUUGUUGUUUCCUGUUAUUUUUGUUGUUAGAGGUGGGAUUAUGUUUGUGUGGCUCUUUUCUUUUGAUUUUGUUGCAGGGAGUUUACUUUCUUGCUUUUUUCUUUAGGGUGUAGUUUCCCUCCUUGUGUUGGAGGUUUCCCUCUGUUAUCCUUCGUAGGGCUGGAUUUGUAGAAAGAUAUUGUACAAAUUUGGUUUUGUCAUGGAAUAUCUUGGUUUCUCCAUCUAUGUUAAUUGGGAGUUUUGCUGGAUAUAGUAGCCUGGGCUGGCAUUUUCAUUCUCUUAGAGUCUAUAUGACAUCUGCCUAGGAGCUUCUGGCUUUCAAAGUCACUGGUAAGAAGUCUGGUAUAAUUCUGAUAGGCCUGCCUUUAUAUGUUACUUCACCUUUUUCCCUUACUGUUUUUAAUAUUCUUUGUUUUGUGCAUUUGAUGUUUUGACUAUUAUGUGACAGGAGUAGUUUCUUUUCUGGUCCAAUCUAUUUGCAGUUCUGUAGGCUUCUUGUAUGAUUAUGGGCAUGUCUUUCUUUAGGUUAGGGAAGUUUUCUUCUAUAAUUUUGUUCAAGAUAUUUACUAACUCUUUAAGUUGGUAGUCUUCGUUCUCUUCUAUACCUAAUGUCCUAGGUUUGGUCUUCUCAUUGUGUCUUGGAUUUCCUGGAUGUUUUGGGUUAGGAGCUUUUUGUGUUUUACAUUUUCUUUGAUAGUUGUGUCCAUGAUUUCUAUGGUAUCUUCUGCCCCUGAGAUUCUAUCUCUUCUGUCUCUUGUAUUCUAUUGGUGAUGCCUGCAUCUAUGGCUCCUGAUCUCUUUCCUAGGUUUUCUAUCUCCAGGAUUGUCUUACUUUGUGAUUUCUUUAAUGUUUCUAUUUCCAUUUUUAAAUCCUGGAUGUUUUUGUUCAAUUCCUUCGCCUGUUUUGUUGUUGUGUUUUCCUGUAAUUCUUUAAGGGAAUUUUGUGUUUCCUCUUUAACAGCUUCCACUUGGGGAUUGGGGAUUUAGCUCAGUGGUAGAGCGUUUUCCUAGCAAGCGCAAGGCCCUGAGUUUGGUCCCCAGCUCCGGAAAAAAAAAAAAAAAAAAAAAAAAAAAAAAGAAAAAAGAAACAAAAAACAGCUUCCACUUGUUUACCUAUGUUGUCCUGUAUUUCUUUAAGGGAAUUUUUUUAUGUCUUUCUUAAUGUCCUCUAUCAUCAUCAUGAGCUGUGAUUUUAAAUCCGAAUGUUCCUUUUCCAGUGUUUAGAUGUCAUUAUUUGAUUUGGUAGGAGAACUGGGCUCUGAUGAUGCCAAGUAGUCUUGGUUUCUGUUGCUCAGGUUCCUGCGCUUGUUUUUCACUUUCAGGUUGUUUCCUGUCCUAGCUUGACUUGCUGUCUCUGACAGAGGGUUGACCCUCCUGUAAGUCUGUGUGUCAGCACUCCUGUAGACCAGUUUUCUUACAGCCAGAUCUGGAUCCAGAGAGCUGUGCGAGUAGGUCAGCUCCUGGUACAGGUAGAAACCAGAAGGGUCCUGUCCCAGAUUCCUCCUGGGUUUGUGUGUCCUGAGGCCUCCAGGCGGGUCACUCAGAGUGGAAGAGUUGGUCUUCCCUCUGUUCUCCGGUGUGUCAGCGCUCCUGGUGAAUGACUUUCAGCUCUGGGCACAGGCAGAAACUGGAAGGGUCCUAUUCCUGACUGCUCCUAGCUUCCUGUGCCCAGGGGGCACUGGGCAGGUUCCUCUUGGGCCAGGAGUGUGAGCAGAAGUGGAGGUCUCCCCUGAGCUCUCAGGAAUGUCUGCACUUCUGAGAGUCCAGCUCUCUCCCCCUCAUUUUAGUUUUUGCAUAUGACUUUCAGUUACAUGUCAUUCUUGAAAUCCUCUCUUACUUAGAUUUCUCAUUAUUUGGCUGGCAUUUUUUCUUCUGUGAACUAAAAUCAUCUCAUUUUAAAUUCAUAUAAGACAGAAGUGCAGGCAGUAAGCCCUUGAAUUCUACUUACUAAUUUGUGGAGGUGUGAUUUGGGUGAUUUUUAAGUUAAAAGUAUUUCAGAUUCAUGGUGGUGCUUUUAAAACUUGAUUUUUUACUAAAUUUGUGGUUCUAUAGAUAUCCUUAUUACCAGGAAUCCAAGUUAUUAAGCUUUAUAUAGGUUAUGUCAGAAUUCUGUUGCUUUCACCCAAAUCUUUUUAAAAACUUCCCAAGCCAAGAAAUUUACAUUUUAAUAAUCAUAUUAAUAUCUAAAGUUCAAGGCAAAAUGAGCUGUAUUUUAUAUUCCAUUUUAUGAUAUAAUUUUAUAAUAUUUCAAGGCUAGUUUCCUAAACUCUCAUAGGACUGCAGUGAAAGUUGCAUUGUAUAACAUGUUGAGCUGCUUAGAACUAUGAGCAGUUACCAGGCACUCUCAGGUUUCAUUAUUUCUCUGCAUGGCAGCUAUAGUGCAGAAUGGCAAUUUCAUGGAAACUAGACUUGUUAAUAGUUGCUUAGCCCAGAGUGAUCCUUUCAGGGACUGCAAAUAGGAGCACACAUGAAUGCAUGCAUGUGUUCACACAUGCGCACACACGCAUACACAUGCACACACACACACACACACACAGAGAGAGAGAGAGAGAGAGAGAGAGAGAGAGAGAGAGAGAGAGAGAGAGAACGAGAACAGGAAAAUGACAAAUAUAUUAGCUAAAUAUUUAAAACUAUGUUCCCAAAACACUACAUAAUCUUUUGUUUUCUUUUGUGUUUUUUACAUACUAAAAUACUUUUAAAAUCCUUUAUGAUGAUUGAGUUACUACAUUGUGGUCAUGUUUUUCAGUGUUCUUUUCAGCUUGGAGUUAUUAGGUAAAGAAAUUUUGUGAAUAUUACAGAACAAAUCUGUAUAAAACUCAUUGUUCAUAUCUGUAUAAAACAUGUUUUUAAUCAUGUGUAUUUUUAAAAAUAAUGACUUUUUAUGACAUUUUCUGUAGUGUUUAUUAUAUUUUAAUUUAUUUUGUGUGUAUACAGAGUACAUGUGUGGGGGUAGAGUACAACUUUUGGGACUAUGUUCCACCAUGCGAAUCUCGAAGAGUAAAUUCAGGUCGCCAAGUUUGACUCCUGUUGGCCUGACCUCCUGAGUCAUCUUGCCAGCUGUUGUUACAAUAUGAUCAUGUAUGAAUAUGAUGCUUGUUAUGACCGACCGUCACCCUCACCAUUCACCCUCUUGGACCUUCCUCACACCGAUCCUUCUCCCCAAUCUUCCUUCUCACUUUGUUUUGAAUACCAGAGAAACUCCAGUUCUUCCUUGUUGGCUGAAUAAUAUUACAUUGCAUGUGUAUGUGAAAUUCUUACUCAUUCAUCAGUGAGCAUACAGGCUUAUUUCAUAUUUUAGAUAUAAAUUAAUCAUUCAGCAAUAAACAUGAAUGUACAAAUCAUCUCGCUAGUCGGCUGGCUUAGGCUCCUUUUUCUGUGUACCCCAGAGAAGGUUAGCUGGGUUACAUAGUAGUUCUGCUUUGAAAUUUUUAAAGAACUGUUCCCACCAUGGCUGAACUGACUGACAUACAUGUUACCAUCAGUGAUCCUCUCCCUUACCUUGUAUCCUGUUUGCUGUCUUGAUGACAGCUAUUCUUUUUUUUUUCUUUUUUUCGGAGCUGGGGACUGAACCCAGGGCCUUGCGUUUGCUAGGCAAGCGCUCUACCACUGAGCUAAAUCCCCAACCCGAUGACAGCUAUUCUUACUGGAGUCAAGUGGAAUCUAUGCAGUUUGGAUAUACAUUUCCUGUUUGGCUAAAAAGUACAACAUGUUUUCAUUUAUUAGAUACUGAACUCAUUUAUAAGAACUGUCCUUUUCAGUUCAUUUGUUCCUUCCAAAUAAUUGGGUUAUUUCAACUUUUGCUACUUGGUAUUUUGAGUUCUUCUUAUAUCAGAAUGUUAUCCCUCUGUUACAUGAAUAGUUAGCAAUGCUUCUCUCCCAAUUCUAAGGCUAUCUGUUAACUUUGAUAGUUGUUUCCUUUGCUGUGUAAGAGCAACUUGGUUUCAGGUAACCCAGUUUGUCAAUUCCUGCUAUUGCAUUUGGAGCUAUUCAAAUUGUAUCCAGACAGUUAAUGCUGUGUAUGCAUCUUGUAAUUUUCCGUUAGUGGUUUUAGAGUCUCAGGACUUUCAAUUCAAAAUUGAUUGAAAUAUUUAUAAGUAAGAGAUACAUAUAGUUUCUUCUGCAUUUUUAGACACAAGCUUUCUAGUUUCAUUUUGUAAAAUACUUAUUUCAUGUGCUUGAGUAUUUUGCUUGCUUGUAUGUAUGCAUUGCUUACAUACUUGGUGCCAAUAGAAAGCUACAAGAGGGUAUCCAAUUGCUUAGACCUGUAGUUAUAGAUGGUUCUGAUCUAUUAUGUGUAUGUGAGGAGCUAACUCUGAGUCUUCUGUAGGGUAAAGUAAGGUAAAGUACUCUUAAUCACUAAGUUUUCUCAUUAGCCCCAUUAACGUUUAUCAAAGACUCUAUUCUUACCCAUUUUAUAUGUUUGAGUGCUUUUAGGUGUUUCAUGGGGUCCUUUCUGCUUUUCUAUUUUAUUCCAUUGGUCUCUACUCUAUAUCUAUUUUGUUGUUAUAUUUAAAUGUGGGACCAUGAAAGGAACCCUGGUUCCUGGUUGAGCAAAGGCUUAAAAUCCUGGUGACCCUGAAAGGGAAGGUAGACUUUUGGACUGACUCCCAGCAAACCAGGCCCCAUCACUAGCUUCAGCUCUCCAUAGAUUUGUGGCUAUCGGUUACAUAGGGCCAGGCCCUGAGACCCUCUACAGGUAGAGGACAAGACCCUCUACAGGUAGAGGAUGUGACCACAGGUCACUUAGGCUCAAGACAGGUCUCCAUUAUGAGGUACCUAAAGGCCUGGAGGCUUAGCCAAGGCUUAGCCAGUCACUUUUCCUUCCUUGACACUUCUCCCUGCAAAGGAAUUUAAUCUCAGGCCCUGAGAAGUGGGGUACGGUUUUACUCAUCCACCUUUUGCAAUGACAAUAAAUGUCUUAAAACCACCAGGGACUGUCUCUUUUCAUCAGGAUCCACCAUGGGGAGCCACAGAGAAGGCCUUCACCUAGGAGCUCCCAUAUAGGGUCUCCCUGCGCUCCCAGCAGAGGCAGCCAUCAAACUCAAGCCAAGGACUAACCCGCCCCUACACUCUUCUCUUCCCCCUCCCACCCUCCACCCUGUCCCCCACAGGACCAGGCGGAGCUACUCCUCUUUCCUCCUUGGUCUGGUCUAGAUCCAAUCCUUGGCCCCUACUCAGUUCUCAGCUCUUCCGCAGCUCCCAGCAGAGCCUGGAUCCCUAAGAGCCUGAGAACCUGACAGCCUAGCCUCCUUGCAUGCCUGGGGAUCCCCAAACCAACUCAGGCUAUGUCACACUCCUCAGACUGUGUUUCCCCACUCCCCAGAACAGUGUCCUGUGGCCUUCCCUAUGCCUCACUUGGGGUAAGCAUGGUUGACUUCCCUGUGGUGGAGCAGACCCAGGACCCAUUAAUCCAACAAUUAGGGCCUUGCUAUCUUUGAUAUUAUGGCUCUGUGAUAUAAUCUGAAAUCUAGUAUUACUUUGCUUGUAGUAUUGCUCCAUUUGCUUAGGAUUGAUUUGGCUAUUCAGACCCAUGCAUGCUUUUAUAUAGAUACUAGGAUUCUCUUUUUAAGUCUUUGAACAACAUCUUUAGAAUUUGGAUAGAAAAUGUACUUUAUACAUAGAAUACUUGGGGUAAUAUAGUCAUUUAAAAUAUUAAUUCUGAUUAUUCACAAACAUGGAAGAACUUUCCCUCUUUUAAUGUCUUCUUUAAUUUAUUCAGUGUUUUAAAGUUUUCACUGCACAAAUGUUUUCUUCCUGACUACUAGAUUUAUUCCUAGGUAAAUGUUCUCGUUGGUUAGGCUUUUGCGAAUGAUAUUAUUUCCCUGGACAGCAUUUUUGUCACUUGUGUAUUAGAAAGCUACUGAUAUUUGUUUGUUGAUUUGAAUCCUGCUCAAAAAGUAUUAAUGAGGUUAAAGAGUAUUUUGAUUGAGUUUUAUAUUCUUUCAAGUGUAGCAUCAUAUAGACUAGACAUAGAUAAGUGGAAUUGUCUUCUGUUCAUAUCUCACAUUUAUAUGUGGGGCCUUAAUGCCAUGGUUAAGAAUUCAAACACUACAAUACUCAUGAGAAUAGUGAAUAGACACUUCUGUUCCUUAUUUUAAUGGAAAUAUUUUAAUUCAAAUACAUUUAGUGUACAAUUGCAUAUACAUUUGCUCUGAAUUGACUUUUUGGUUGUUGAUGUUAUACUUCAUCCCAAAUUUCUCCAGGAUUCUCAUCAUAAUGGGAUAUUAAACUUUGUCACAGCCUUUUCUGCAUCUGUUGAGAUGAUUUCCUUUUUAAAAUUAAAUUUAUGUGUUAUUUAUAUUCUUUGCAUAUCUUGAACUAUUAACUCAUGUAUUAUAUUUUAUUUAUUGAUUCGCAUAUGUUGAACUAGCCUUGACUAUCCAAAAUAAAACCUGUUAAUCCUAGUGUAGGAGCUCUUUGAUAUGUUACUGCAUUUUGUUUUGAAAUACUUUAUUGAGUAGUUUUGCAUCUUUAUUCAUUAGGGAUGGCAUAUAACUUUCUGUGUUUUUCUCUUCUUUUCUGGAUUUUCAGUGAAGGGAAUGCUGGCUUACCAGAUUGAUUUUGAUAGAAUUCCUUUUCUGUUUUGUGGAAUGUUUUGAGAAUAUUAUUGUUUUUGGAAAAUGAGAUAGAAUUUGCAAAUAAAUUGUGCGAAAUUUAGACUUUUCUUUUUGGGAGACUUUAUUAGAAUAUAAAUUUUGUUCCUUGCUAUAGAUCUAAUUGAGGAGUUUAUGUCUAAUUGGCUUAAUUUUAGUAUGAAAUGUAUUGAAACUCUUAUCUAAAUUUCCUAUUUUAUUGGACGAUAACAUUUUCAGCACCCUGAAAUUUAUUAGCAUCUGUUGUAAUGCCCACAUAUUGUCUCUAAUUUUAUUAUGUUGACUCUUCUCUUUUGAUUAGUUUGUCUAGGGGUUUCCAAACCGUUUAAUUUUGUUUCUGUUUUUUUUUUUUUUUCAGAUUUGUUUGGCGUUUCUUUUUUUCCCCAUCUUUAUUAAAUUGGGUAUUUCUUAUUUGCAUUUCGAAUGUUAUUCUCUUUCUCGGUUUCCAGGCCAACAUCCCCCUAACCCCUCCCUUUCCAUGUGUGUGUUUCCCUCCCCAUCCUUCCCCCAUUACUGCCCUCCCCCCAACAAUCCAGGUCACUGGGGAUCCAGCCUUGGCAGGGCCAAGGGCUUCCCCUUCCACUGGUGCUCUUACUAGGCUAUUCAUUGCUACCUAUGAGGUCAGAGUCCAGGGUCAGUCCAUGUAUAGUCUUUGGGUAGUGGCUUAGUCCCUGGAAGCUCUGGUUGCUUGGCAUUGUUGUUCAUAUGGGGUCUCGAGCCCCUUCAGCUCUUCCAGUCCUUUCUCUGAUUCCUUCAACUGGGGUCUCGUUCUCAGUUCAGUGGUUUGCUGCUGGCAUUCGCCUAUGUAUUUGCCAUAUUCUGGCUGUGUCUCUCAGGAAAUAUCUACAUCCGGUUCCUGCCAACCUGCACUUCUUUGCUUCAUCCAUCUUGUCUAAUUGGGUGGCUGUAUAUGUAUGGGCCACAUGUGGGGCAGGCUCUGAAUGGGUGUUCCUUCAGUCUCUGUUCUAAACUUUGCCUUCCUAUCCCCUCCUAAGGGUAUUCUUGUUCCCCUUUUAAAGAAGGAGUGAAGCAUCCACAUUUUUGUUAUCCUUCUUGAGUUUCAUGUGUUCUGUGCAUCUAGGGUAAUUCAAGCAUUUGGGCUAAUAUCCACUUAUCAAUGAGUGCAUACCUUGUGUGUUUUUCUGUGAUUGGGUUACCUCACUCAGGAUGAUAUUUUCCAGUUCCAUCCAUUUGCCUAUGAAUUUCAUGAAGUCAUUGUUUUUGAUAGCUGAGUAAUAUUCCAUUGUGUAGAUGUACCAUAUUUUCUGUAUCCAUUCCUCUGAUGAAGGGCAUCUGGGUUCUUUCCAGCUUCUGGCUAUUAUAAAUAAGACUGAUAUGAACAUAGUGGAGCACGUGUCUUUGUUAUUUUUUGGAGUAUCUUUUGGGUAUAUGCCCAAGAGAGGUAUAGCUGGGUCCUCAGGUAGUGCAAUGUCCAAUUUUCUGAGAAAUCUCUAGACUGAUUUCCAGAAGGGUUGUACCAGUCUGCAAUUCAACCAACAAUCGGAGGAGUGUUCCUCUUUCUCCACAUCCUUGCCAGCAUUUGCUGUCACCUGAGUUUUUGAUCUUAGCCAUUCUGACUGGUGUGAGGUGGAAUCUCAGGGUUCUUUUGAUUUGCAUUUACCUUUUGACUGGAGAUGUUGAACAUUUCUUUAGGUGUUUCUCAGCAUUCCUCAGCUGUGAAUUCUUUGUUUAGCUCUGAACCCCAUUUUUAAUAGGGUUAUUUUGUCUUCCUGCAGUCUAACCUCAUGAGUUCUUUGUAUGUUUUGGAUAUAAGCCCUCUAUCUGUUGUAGGAUUGGUAAAGAUCUUUUCCCAAUCUGUUGGUUGCCGUUUUGUCCUAAUGACAGUGUCCUUUGCCUUACAGAAGCUUUGUAGCUUUAUGAGAUCCCAUUUGUCGAUCCUUGAUCUUAGAGCAUAAGCCAUUGGUGUUUUGUUCAGGAAAUUUUCUCCAGUGCCUAUGUGUUUGAGAUUCUUCCCCACUUUUUCUUCUAUUAGUUUGAGUGUGUCUGGUUUGAUGGGGAGGUCCUUGAUCCACGUGUACUUAAACUUUGUACAGGGUAAUAAGACUGGAUCGAUCUGAUAUCUUCUACAUGCUGACCUCCAGUUGAAAAUGCUAUCUUUUUUCCAUUGGAUGGUUUUGGCUUCUUUGUCAAAAAUCAAGUGACCAUAGUUGUAUGAGUUCAUUUCUGGGUCUUCAAUUCUAUUCCACUGCUCUAUCUCUCUGUCUCUGUACCAGUACCAUGCAAUUUUUCUCAUUAUUGCUCUGUAAUACUGCUUGAUUUCAGGGAUGGUGAUUCUCCCAGAAGUCUUUUUAUUGUUGAGUGUGCUGUCAAGCUGCUGAUGUAUGCUCUCUCCUGUUUCUUUCUCCAGGCACUUAGAUCUAUGAGUUUUCCUUUUAGCACAGCUUUCAUUGUGUCCCGUAAGUUUGGGUAUGUUGUACCUUCAUUUUCAGUAAAUUUUAUGAAGUCUUUAAUUUCUUUCUUUAUUUCUUCCUUGACCAGGUUAUCAUUGAGUAGAGCAUUUUUCAACUUCCGUGUAUAUGUGGGCGUUCUUUCCUUAUUGUUAUUGAAGACCAGCUUUAGCCUGUGGUGGUCUGAUAGUACGCAUGGGAUUCUUUCUGUCUUUCUCUAUCUGUUCAGGCCUGUUUUAUAUGAUUAUAUGGUCAAUUUUGGAGAAAAUACCAUGAGGUGGUGAGAAGAAGGUAUAUCAUUUUGUUUUAGGAUAGAAUGUUCUAUAAAUAUCUGUUAAGUCCAUUUGGUUCAUGACUUCUGUUAGUCUGUCUAUGUCUCUGUUUAAUUUCUGUUUCCAUGAUCUGUCCAUUGAUGAGAGUGGGGUGUUGAAAUCUCCUACUAUUAUUGUGUGAGGUGCAAUGUGUGUUUUGAGCUCUAGUAAGGUUUCUUUUACGUAUGUAGGUGCUCUUGUAUUUGGAGCAUAGAUAUUUAGGAUUGAGAGUUCAUCUUGGUGGAUUUUUCCUUGGAUGAAUAUGAAGUGUCCUUCCUUAUCUUUUUUGAUGACUUUUGGUUGAAAAUCGAUUUUAUUCAAUAUUAAAAUGGCUACUCCAGCUUGCUUCUUCUGACCAUUUGCUUGGAAAAUUGUUUCCAAAAGUAGUGUCUGUCUUUGUCUCUGAGCUGUGUUUCCUGUAGGCAGCAAAAUGCUGGGUCUUCGUUAUGUAUCCAGUUUGCUAAUCUGUGUCUUUUUAUUGGGGAAUUGAGUCCAUUGAUGUUAAGAGAUAAUAAGGAAUAGUGAUUGUUGCUUCGUGUUAUCUUCGUAUUUGGAUGUGAGAUUACAUUCGUGUGCUUGUCUUCUCUUUGUUUUGUUUCUUGCUUUUUCUAGGGUGUAGCUUGCCUCCUUAUGUUGGACUUUACCAUUUAUUAUCCUUUGUAGGGCUGGAAUUAUAGAAAGAAAUUGUAAAUUUGGGUUUGUCAUGAAAUAUCUUGGUUUCUCCAUCUAUGUUAAUUGAGAGUUAAUUGAGAGGAUACAGUAACCUGGGCUGGCAUUUGUGUUCUCUUAGGGUCUGUGUGACAUCUCUCCAGGAUCUUCUUGCUUUCAUAGUCUCUGGUGAGAAGUCUGGUAUAAUUCUGAUAGGUCUGCCUUUAUAUGUUACUUGACCUUUUUCCCUUUCUUUCUUUGUUUUGUGCAUUUGUUGUUUUGACUAUUAUGUGACUAGAGUAGUUUCUUUUCCUGUCCAAUCUAUAUGAAGUUCUAUAGGCUUCUUGUAUGUUUAUGGGCAUCUCUUUCUUUAGGUUAGGGAAGUUUUCUUGUAUGAUUUUGUUGAAGAUAUUUACUGGUCCUUUGAGUUGGGAGACUUCACUUUCUUCUAUACCUAUUAUCCUUAGGUUUGAUCUUUUCAUUGUGUCUUGGACUUCCUGUACGUUUUGGGCCAGUAGCUUUUUCUGUUUUACAUUAUGUUUAACAGUUGUGUCGAUGAUUUCUAUGGAAUCUUCUGCUCCUGAGAUUCUCUCUUCUAUCUCUUGUAUUCUGUUGGUGAUGCUUGUAUCUACGACUUCUUGUCUCUUUCUUUGGUUUUCUAUAUCCACAGUUUUCUCCCUUUGUCCUUUCUUUAUUGUUUCUAUUUCCAUUUUUAAUUCCUUCUCCUGUUUGUGUUUUCCUGUAAUUCUUUCAGGGAUUUUUAUGUUUCCCCUCUAAGGGCUUCUACUUGUUUACUUGUGUUUUCCUGCAUUUCUCUAAGGGCGUUUUUUAUAUCUUUCUUAAAUUCCUCCAUCAUUAUGAUCAAAUGUGAUUUUAAAUCUAGAUUUUGUUUUUCUGGUGUGUUUGGAUAUUCAGUGUUUGCUUUGGUGGGAGAAUUGGGCUAUAAUGAUGCCAUGUAGUCUUUGUUUCUGUUUCUUGGGUUCCUGUGUGUGCCUCUCGCCAUCAGGUUGUCUCUGGUGUUACUCUUUUUGCUAUUUCUGACAGUGGCUUGACCUUCUCAUAGGCCUGUGUGUCAGGAGUGCUGUAGACCUGUUUCCCUGUUUUCUUUUAGCAAGUUAUGGGAACAGAGUGUUACUCUCAGACGUGUAGUCUUUCCUGUCCACUGGCUUUCAGCUGUCCCUGUGGGCAGGAACCAGAAGUGCCUGCCCCUACUUCUCCUAGGUCCCUGUGUGCAGGAGGCCCAGAUGGCACUAGGUGUUUUCCUCUAGAGUCAGAAAUGUGGGCAGAGAGUAGUCUCCUCUGGUUUCCCAGAUGUGUCUGCCCCUCUGAAGGUUUAGCUCUCCCUCCCACGGGAUUUGGGUACAGGGAGCUGUUUGACCGGGUCUGUUUAGAUCCAGGCUCAGUCUGAACCGCAGGGCUCCUGCAGCUUGAGUGCCCCUAUCUUCCUGUUCCCAGAGGCCCUAUACAGUUUCCUUUUGGGCCAAGGAUGUGGACAAAGGUGGGCAGAAGUGACAGUGUCUCCUGCCCUACAGUCUCAGGAUUGCCCACACUUCUGGGCGAUCCGCUCUCUCUCCACAGAUUUUUGGAGCAGGGAGCUGUGGGCCAGGAUCAGCGAGGUUAAUUUUGUUUUAUUGUGUAUCCUAUCCUUUAGGAUUACAUUUCAUUAGUUGUUGCCCUGAUCUCUGAUCUCUAUAGUUGGUUUGUAUUCAAUGCUUUAGAUGGUGUUUUUGUUAAGCAUUGAAGCUUAAUUAUGCUUUAUUUAGCUCUCUGUAUUUAAAGUCUUGGAAACGUUUCUCCUUUUGUUUGAUUUUACAAUUUUUUAAAACUAUUUCUCUAACUUCUGUGACCCACAGAAGCGCAUAUUACCCAAUCUUCAUUAGUGUGUAUACUGUUUGUCGUAUCUUGACUAUGCAUUCUCAUUUCUCGAUUAUUAUCUGAUUAGACACAAUGGGCAUUGAACUUUUCUUUGUUAAGACUUGCAUUGCAUUGCAUUCUAAAAUGUUUCCUAUGAUAUAGAAAAUUUUAAUGUAGGUGAAAAUGUUUUUCACAGCAUGUUGGAAUAUCCCACAAAUAGUACCGUUUACAUAUAAAGUUCCUUGCUUCCCUUUUUUGUGGAGGUGGGUUUGAAAAGGUUUUCUACAUUUCUUUUACAAUAUCUGGAUCUAGCUUUAAUAUUCAGAAGUGUUUUGCUUUGCGAAAUCGAUCAUGUCAAUGAGUUCUCUCUAUUACUAUGUAGUAACUCCUUUUAUCUCUUAAGACUAAUUUGGACCUGAAUCUAUAUUGUCAGAAGUGUAGUUGCUCUUGCUUGCCCUUAAGUUCAACUAACUUGGCGUAGACUGUUUUAUUGUUUUGUGUUUUUAUUUCUAACAUUCAUUCACUUUCAGUGUUUGCUUUGCUUUAUACUGGAAUGUCUUUCUUGAAGACAUCCAGCAGUUGGAAAUUGCUGUAUAAUCCCGCCUGCAUGCCUGCCUCUUAUAAUUGGACAUUAAUACCAGUAAUAUUAAACAUAAUAAUUGAGAGAUAUUUGCCAUAAUUUUAAAAUAUGUAUUUGUUACUGGUCUUCCUUUUCUGUUUAGAUUUCCCUUUAAGUGCAAUUAAAAUGCAAGCUUAUCAGUUUUUAAAUACUUCACUUUGUACGUUUUUGAAAUAUCUUUAAUUUUCAUUAAGUAAAAAUGAUAUUGUUGUAUUAAUCUUCAUUUGUAGUCGUAGUAGUUUGUAUUGUUGUGAUAAAAUGCUUGACGAAAAGCAUCAUAGAGAGGAAGAUUUUUUUUUUACUUUUUUUUAUUGGCUAUUUUAUGUAUUUACAUUUUAAACAUUGUCCCCUUUACCCACGCCCACCUACCCAUUCCCACCUCACUAUCCUGACAUUCCCCUACACUGGGGCAUCUAGCCUUCACAGGACCAAGGGCUCCUAUUGGUGCCCAACAAGGCCAUCCUCUGCUUCAUAUGCGGCUGGAGCCAUGGUUCCCUCCAUGUGUACUCUUUGGUUGGUGGUUUGGUCCCUGGGAGCUCUGUGGCCUCUGGUUGGUUGAAAUUGUUGUUCUUCCUAUGGAGUUGCAAACCCCUUCAGCUUCUUCAAUCCUUUUUCUAACUCCUCACUGUCAGAUCUUCUCAGGAUAUCUAUAUCAGUCUGUCAGCAAGCACUUCAUGGUAUCAGCUGUAGUGUCUGGGUUUGGUGUCUGCAGAUGGGAUGGAACCCCGGGUGGGGCAGUCUCUGGAUGACCUUUCCUCUAUUCCACACUUUCUUUCCAUAUUUCCUCCUGUGAGUGUUUUGUUCCCCCUUCUAAGAGGGACUAAAGCAUCCACACUUUGGUCUUCCUUCUACUUGAACUUCGUAUGGUCUGUGAAUUGUUUCCUGGGUAUUCUGAGCUUUUGGGAAGUAAGGAACCUAGAAGCAGGAACCAUACACAGACCGUGGAGGGGUUGCUGACUGCCUUGCUUUUCAUGGUCUGCUCGACCUAUAUUCUUACACAACCUAAGAUCAGUUGCUAAGGUGUGGCUGGGCCCUCCCACUUCACUAAUUAAUCAAGAAAAUGCUGCCUCCAACUUUUCUACCUAUAUUUCAGUCUUGUUGAGAUUGCCUGUACCCAGAUUACACUAACUUGUAUCAAGAUGCAAAACAGUAGAAACAGCAACAGCAACAAAACUCCAACCAACCAACCAACCAACCAACCAACCAACCAACCAACCAACCAACCAGCCAGUCAGCCAAUGAAACUAGCUAGUAGUCAUUUCCUGCCAUGGCUUGAACUAAUGUUUUUAUGUUUUCCUGGCCUUCAUGGCUUUUCCUGAGUCAUCAUUCCUUAUAGUUAAGUCUAGAUUUUUUUUCUGGUCCCAUUUAAUAUUAUGUCUUUUGUUUGAUGUCCAUAGUCUUUUUAAAAAUACUUGCAUUGUGCUUUUCGAGAUUGCAAUUAUCCCCUUUACCUUUUUUUGGUUUCUCUUCAAACCUUCUCAUAUACUCUUCCUUACUCUUUUAUAAAUUAAUGACCUCUUUUUUCAUUAAUUGUUACACAUACACACAUAAAAUCAAUCUCUCUCUCUCUCUCUCUCUCUCUCUCUCUCUCUCUCCCCCUCCCUCCUUCCUUCCCUCCCUCCCUCCCUCCCUCCCUCCCUCCCUCCCUCCCUCCCUCCCUCCAAAAUAUGUAAGUGCAACCUUCUCAGUGCGCACAGCGUCACUUGUAGGUGUUUUCAGGGCUGACCCUGAUAUGCUCUCCUGGGGAUGACCAUUUCUCCUGCUCUCAGCCUUCCGUAGUUGCUUGUAGUUCUCUGUGUAGCUUUGAACAUUGCAAAAGGGGCACAAAGACUCUAAGAGCCAAAGGACCAGGGAGUUUGCUGUGAGAUUGGCUAAAGUCAUCUCCAUUGGCUAUUCAAAGCCUCUUGCUUCCCUGGAAACUGGAACUUUUUAGUAGAAGUUCCAUCCCCCACUGCUACAUGUUUCUAUUCAAAUUCCUGAUCCUCUGUCCUUUCCAAUACUUGUUUCUGCCCCCCCUUUUCCCUCCCAGGUUCCUCCCUCCCUUUACCUUCUGUGAUUGUUCUGCUCCCAGUUCCAUAUAGUUGAAACAUCUACACUUUGGUCUUCCUUCUUCUUAAGCUGCAUAUGGUUUGUAGGUGUUAUUGUGGGUGGGUUACCUCACUCAGCCUAUUUUCUAGAUCUGUCCAUUUACCUGAAAAAGUCAUGAAGUCAUUGUUUUUAAUAGCUGAAUAGUACUCCAUUGUGUAAAUGAACCUCAUUUUCUGUAUCCAUUCCUCCAUUGAGGGACAUCUGGGUUGUUUCCAUCCUCUUGGUAUUAUAAAUAAAACUGCUAUAAACAUAGUGGAGCAUUUGUCCUUGUUAAAUGUUGGGGCAUCUUUUGGGUAUAUGCCUAGAAGUAGUAAAGUUGGGUCUUCAGGUAGAACUAUUUCCCUAUUUCCAGUUUUCUCAGGAACAGCCAGACUGAUUUCCAAAGUGGUUGUACCAGCUUGCAAUCCCAACAGCAAUGGAAGAGUGUUCCUCUUUCUCUACAUCCUCACCAGCAUCUGCUGUCACUUGAGUUUUUAAUCUUAGCCAUUCUGACUGGUGUGAGGUGUAAUCUCAGGGUUGUUUUGAUUUGAAGGAUGUUGAACAUUUCUUUAGGUGCUUCUCAGCCAUUCAAUAUUCCUCAGCUGAGAAUUCUUUGUUUAGCUCUGUACCCCAUAUUUUAAUUGGGUUAUUUGACUCUCUGGAGUCUAACUUCCUGAGUUCUUAGUAUAUUUUGGAUAUUAGCCCUCUAUUGUAUGUAGGGUUGUUAAAGAUCUUUUCCCAAUCUGUGGGUUGCCAUUUUGUCCUAUUGACAGUGUUUUUGCCUUACAGAAGCUUUGCAGUUGUAUGAGGUCUCAUUUGUCAAUUGUUGAUCUUAGACCAUGAGCCAUUGGUAUUCUGUUCAGGAAAUUUUCCCCUGUACCAAUGUGUUCAAGGCUCUUUCCCACUUUCCCAGUUUAUCUUCUAUUAUAUUCAGUGUAUCUUUUUUUUUUUUUUUUUUUUUUUUUUUUGUGGAGGUCCUUGAUCCACUUGGGCUUGAACUUUGUACAAGGAGCUAAGAAUGAGUCAAUUUGCAUUCUUCUACAUGCUGACUGCCAGUUGAACCAGCACCAUUUGUUGAAAUCCUUUCUUUUUUCCGUUGGAUGGUUUUGGUUUCUUUGUCAAAGAUCAAGUUACCAUAAUGUGUGGGUUUAUUUCUGGGUCUUCAGUUCUAUUCCAUUGAUCCACCUGCCUGUCUCUGUACCAAUACCAUGCUGUUUUUAUCACUAUUGCUCAGUAGUACAGCUUGAGGUCAGGGACAGUGAUUCCUCCAGAUGUUCUUUUAUUGUUGAGAAUGGUUUUCACUAUCCUGGAUUUUUGUUAUUCCAAAUGAAUUUGAGAAGAGUUGGAAUUUUGAUGGGGAUUGCACUGAACCUGUAGAUUGCUUUUGGUAAGUUGCCCAUUUUUACUAUGUUAAUCCUGCUGAUCCAUGAACAGGGGAUAUCUUUCCAUCUUCUGAGGUCUUUUUGUAUUUUAUUCUUCAGAGACUUGACGUUUUUGUCAUACAGAUCUUUCACUUGUUUGAUUAUAUUCACUCCCAAAUAUUUUAAAUUAUUUGUGACUAUUGUGAAGGGUGUCACUUCCUUAAUUUCUUUCUCAGCCUGUUUUUCUUUGAGUAGAUGAAGGCUACUGAUUUAUUUGAAUUAAUUUUAUAUGCAGCCACUUGUGGAAUUUGGUUAUCAGCUGUUGGAGCUCUCUGGUGGAUAUUUUGGGGUCACUUAUCAUAUGCAAAUAGUGAUACUUUGACUUCCUCCUUUCCAAUAUGAAGCCCAUUGAUUUCCAUCUGUUGCCUAAUUGCUCUGGCUAGAACUUCUAGUACUAUAUUGAAUAGAUAGGUUGAGAGUGGGCAGCAUUGUCUAUUCUCUGAUUUAGUGGGAUUCUGAUCUCUCCAAUAUUUUUAGCAUGAAUGGGUAUUGUAUUUUGUCAAAGGUGUUUUCAGCAUCUAAUGAGAUGAUCAUGUGUCUUUUUUUACUUUGAGUUUGUUUACAUAGUGGAUUACAUUGAUGGAUUUUCAUAUAUUCAGCCAACCUUGCAUCCCUGGGAUGAAGCCUUCUUGAUCAUGGUGAAUGAUGGGUUUGAUUUGUUCUUGAUUCAGUUUGCGGUGAUUUUAUUGAGUAUUUUUGCAUCAGUAUUUAAAAGCAAAAUAGAUCUGAAGUUCUUUUUCUUUUUGGGGUCUUUGUGUGGUUUAGGUAUUAGUGUAACUGUGGCUUCAUAAAGCAAAUUAGGUACUGUUCCUUCUGUUUCUAUUUUGUGGAACAGUUUGAAGAUUAUUGGUAUUAGGUCUUCUUUGAAAGUCUAAUAAAAUUCGGCACUAAACCCAUGUGGUCCUGAGUUUUUGUUGUUCUUGUUGUUGUUUGUGUGUUUGUUUUGUUGGUAGACUUUUAAUGACUGCUUGUAUUUCUUUAUGGUUUAUGUGACAAUUUAGAUGGUUUAUCUGAUCCUGAUUCAACUUUGGUUCCUUGUAUCUGUCUAGAAAAUUAUCCAAUUCAUCUAGAUUUUCCACUUUUGCUCAAUAUAGGCUUUUGUAGUAGGAUCUGAUGAUUUGUUUUUAAUUCCUUUGGUUUCUGUUGUUAUGUCUCCCUUUUCAUUUGUGAUUUUGAUAAUUUGGAUACACUCUCUGUGCCCUCUAGUAAGUCUGCCUAAGGGUUUAUAUAUCUUGUUGAUUUUCUCAAAGAACCAGUUCCUGGUUUUGUUGAUUCCUUUGUAUAGUUCUUUUUGUUUCUACUGGGUUGAUUUAAGCCCUGAAUUUGAUUAUUUCCUGCUAUCUACCCCUCUUUGGUGUAUUUGCUUCUUCUUUGGGCUUUGAAGUGUGCUGUCAAGCUUUUGGUGUACGCUCUCUCCACUUUCUUUUUCAAGGCACUCAGAGCUAUGAGCUUUCCUCUUAGCACUGCUUUCACUGUAUCCCAUAAGUUUGGGUAUGUUUGCCUUCAUUUUUGUUAAAUUCUAAAAAGUCUUUAAUUUCUUUAUUUCCUCCCUAACCAAGGUAUUAUUAAGUAGAGCAUUCUUUAGCUUCCAUGUGUAUGUGGACUUUCUGUCAUUUUUGUUGUUAUUGAAGACCAGCCUCAGUCCAUGGUGAUCUUAUAGGGUGCAUUGCAGUUCUUUCUAUUGUCUUUUAUCAGUUGAACCAAGUCUUUUUCUGAUUUGAAAAUCUUAUGCUCCAACUUCAUUGGUUAGAUUUUCUAUGCUUUGUUUUAUAGUUUAGCUUAUUCUCUUAUCCUGUCAAUUCUUGGGUUGUUCUUUGGUUAUUUCUCUGAGGUAUUAAAAGUUGUGUUCAUGUUUGUUUUUUCUUCAUUUUUUUAAUUUAUUGAUAUUUUAAUAUGGUGUUUCCCUAACCUCACCUUCUGGCUUUGAUAGUCUUUAUUCUGCUUGAUAUAGCCUAUUUGAAAUUACUUUCUUAUGUGAUUUAAACUUUUUUUAAAAAUUUUAUAUCUGUAUAUAGUUUAUCUUGAUUAUAUAUACUACCUCAUUUUUCCUUUAGCUCAUCGUGGCUGUUGCCCCCAAAUCCAUGCCAUUAAAAACAAUUACUGGGCUAAAUUCAACUAGUGUUUCCUUUAUGCUCGUGAUUUUGGGACAUGGCCAACCUACCAGUGACACCCUUCCAAAGAAAAAUUAUUCUCUCCCUUAGCCAUCUUCUGCCAAUAGUUGCUCAGUUGAGAUGGGGCAAUUGUAACUGGAUUGGUAUUAUUAUACUGGUCUUAUGCAAGCAACCAUAGCUGUGUGAAUUCAGGGAUACAUGUACACAGGACAAUACUCACUCUGCCUGCUACCUUCUUUUUACACCUUAUUUUUCCCAUGCUCUUUGAGUCUUGGCGUGCUAGUGGUGGUGUUGAAAUCGUUAGCUCCUCUGUCACUGAGCACUCAGAGUUGCUUAUUCUUAGCCCUCACAAUAGACUUUUCCAACUGCAAUAAGAAGCUCAUUUCGCCAAGGUUGGGACAAGCAUAAAUCUGUGGGUAUAAAUUCAAAUAUUUAGAAGCCAAUUUGAUAAUAUUACCAUUUGACAAACAGCAUCAAAGGAUUCUCUCUUAGAGUAUAUACCUUUUCUAGCUCUAUGUUUUGACUCUUCUUACCUUACUAGUUAUGAAUUCCCUUUUGUGGGACAGUAACCAAAUCCGUCCAAAGAGUUAUUGUUUAUACCCAUAAACAAUCUUGAUUGUUCCAGGUAGCACAGCUUGCCUAGCAGGGUCUGUAUUUUAUAAGGCAGUGUUCAGUGCUAGGGAAUUACAUAUUUUUAUUGGUUGAUUUCUAGUAUUUCUAUAUCCCUGUAUUUCCCAAAUCUCCGUUUUCUUGCAGAACUGUGUUGCUGGCUAUUAUGUAGGUCUAGCAUUAAUGUCUUUAUUUUAAUUUGUCUUCGUGUUAAAAGUGUCCAUCCUUUCUAUUUCAAUAUCUUAAUAGUUCAGUUUUAAGCUUUAAGAGGUUUUAUUGUGCCUUGCUUUUUUGUAUUUUUUUAAAUUUCUAAGUUAGUAUUUGUACAUCAGUUAGGGGGUGUACACCUUUGAAAAAUUUUUUUAAUUUAGUAAUUUUAAAAUUUAUUGAAGCUUAUUUCAGUAAUCAUCUUCCAGAUAAUCAUUACUUGUUCUACUCGUGGUGUCAGUCAUUUUCAUUAGAAAACUCAAUGCAAAAAAAAAAAUCAAAAACAAUUACUUUCAUUAUCUCUCUCUUUAGAAUUGUUUCACACAGGUUAGUGUUAGAGACAUGUGAUAUAAAUGUAGAGAUAUUGCUUCUUAAUAUCAAAGUCUGAUACAAAGUUUCUGUGAGUUAUACAUAAAGUCCUAGAGAUUGUUUAGGGCAAUGGACAUGAACUUUAGGUCAGUCUUGCUCUGAAGCAGUGGUGUAACAGUCACUGUGUUACCUGCUGUUCCUAUGCCAACAUCUGAAGCCUCUUCCAUGUUUCCCCUGAGGAUGCAGCAGGAACUAUAUCUUGUCUUAUAGACUUUCAGUAGUUCAAACACUGUAGGUUGAUACUUUUAGAGCUGUGUUUAUUUUAUGAGUAUGUGUGUUUUACAUGUCUGCCUGUCUGUCUGUGUUAGUGUGCACCAUGUGGAUGCAGUGCCCUUGGAGACCAGCAGUAACAGAUAAUUGUUAACCAGUAUAUAGGUACUGGGAAUGAAGCCCUGGUGCUUUGCAAGAGCAAUUAGUAAGUGCCCUUAACUACUGAAGCAUAUUUUCCGGUCCCUGGAAAUAUUAAAAAAUUAUCAAACAGAAUGAGAAGCUAAGAAGUUUUUUUAAAUUAAAAAAUUAACUAAUGUAAGAGUUAAAAGUUUGAAUGCAAUUAGAGGAUUAUAUGAAAUAGGCCAGGCCUUCCUCUACUCUCUGUCCCCAGCCUAUGUGGAAGCUAGCAAUAUGUAUCUCAUGGAACUAGAGUCCAGAAUUGCUAAUAUACAUAUGUUACAUUACUAGGAGUGAAAGAAAAGGAUUAGCAAUUAGGUACAAAACAGAUAGGAAGAAUAGGUCCAGGGCUUUGAGCUCAGUGACGUGACUACAGUUAACUGAUUUACUUUAUAGUUCAAAAUAGCUAUAAGGAUGGAUUUAAGGGCUGGAGAGACGGCUCAGCGGUUAAGAGCACUGACUGCUCUUCCAGAGAUCCUGAGUUCAAUUCCCAGCAACCACAUGGUGGCUCACAACCAUCUGUAAUGAGAUCUGAUGCCCUCUUCUGGUGUGUCUGAAGACAGCUGCUCAAAUACAUAAGUAAAUAAAUCUGUAAAAAAAAUGGAUUUGAAUAUUUUAAGCAUAAAUGCAUGGCAAAUUGGGCUGGGAAGAAAGCCCAGUUGGGAAAGUACUUGUCUUACAAGCUCAAGGACCUAAGCUUUAUUCCUAGAAUUCAAAGAGAAAAGGCUGGGUAUGGUGGCAUGCAUUUGUAAUCUCAGUAUCGGAGAGUAGGAAACAGAAGGAACUCUGCAGACCGGACCCACUGGCUAGCCAGGCUAGCCUACUUACUUAUUCAAGACUCUGUCUCAGCCUCGCAGAACCUGAGUAAGGACACCUGAAGCUGUCCUCUGGCCUUAUGUACAUGCGCUCAUGUACCUGCUCCUGUGUGUGUACCUGCCUUGGCUAUUAUUCUUUAGGAGUUGAGAUGGUGUCUCUCAUUAGAACCCAGGGUCCUGUAAUUAAACUAAACUGGGUGUCCUGGGAUCCACAGGAUCCUUCUACUUGUACUUCCCUCAUGCUGGGCUUGCAGUUGUGACAGCAUGGCUGACUGUAUGAAUUUUGAAGAUUGUGGUUCAAGCAUCAAGUGGUUGUCUCCCUGGCCUCUUCCUGAUGGUUUUCUCUUCCUUUCUUCGAGCUUUUGGUAUGUAUGUACUUUGUUUAGUACUUCUUGUUGGUGUCCUGUGUAGCUGCUCGCUCCUGACUUGUAUUUAGUAGUACUCCGAGAUUCUGCCCCUACUUUACUGAAUUUUAGGAUUUUACUUAGGUUCUUGGUUUUAACAAUUUUCUUGGUAUCAACAAUUCUAAAAUUGAACUAUAACAUCACUUGCAUAUUAAAAUUUCAGUAGGUCAAAAUAAAGCCCAUUGCUUCUAUGUCCCCAUCACCAAUUUUUUUCCUCUAUAUUAUUUUCAGCAAUGUCUACUCAGCCAGCUACAAGAAAACCUCAACAACAUUGAUCUCUCCCUUGGUCCAAAUUACUCUGCUGUACUACUCUCCCGAAGGGUGCUUAUGGUCUCCUUAGCCAUUGGCCCUCAGAAGCACUCAUCGAGAGCCAACAUAACAUCUGGUGUCCCACACAUACCUACUCUUCCAAAGCCUUUUAUAGUACUUGCCAUGUUUCAGCACAGGAUCAUGUCCCGUGGGUUAGUGCUUUUCCUUAAUGUCUGAAGAUUUCUAUAGCAGUUAGUACUAAUAGGUGAUGAGUAACUUUUAUAUAAUUUCAGAAAUGUUUACCUGAGCAUAUCCUCAGAUUCUUUUGUUCUUUACUUGUUUAUCUAAUAAUAAUUUUAAGAUUAUGAUCUUUUUGUGUGCAAAAGUUUCUAGCACUCCUUGUCUACCUAAUAGAAUUCCAAUUAUACCAAGGUAGACAACACCGUAAUAAGCUGGUCCUUCCUAUCCCUCCCUUCAUCUCUCUGUGUCUCUGUGUCUCUGUCUCUGUGUCUCUCUUUCUCUCCCUCUCUUUCUCCCUCUCUUGCUCUUGCUCUCAUUCUAAAUGUGUAUUAUUCUUUAGCCACAUAACUCCAUGUUCUCUGCUAAUAUUUGUGUUUUGUAUUGGGAACUUGUAGAAUUUUUAAACGGAAAUUGGAGAAUAAGGAGGAGAUCGGGGUGAGCGAGAGAAGGUGGAGAUGCUUUGAAAUGGGAAUGAUCAGCGCACAUGCAACAGUGAAAGUCACAGUGCAGGCCACGGUUCUAUACAGUGAACAUGCAACACCAAAAAUCUGCUGCUUUCUACAAAUGCUUAAUCUUCCCCCCCGUGUGUGGCUGCUGAGCUAGAUUGCAUAGAAAUACAAAGAUGGAUACAUUCCACGUAGUAGUCUUUUAUAUCUCUUAAGUUUUCCUUUGGUGAAAAAUUCUAUCUUACACAACUUAAGUGAACUUUAUCUGUGACAUGUCCAUAGUCAUCUUACGUACUAAAGUGUUGUUAAUAUCCACAUCAAAAAUGUAUUACAGCCUGCCAUUUUUGUGAGUAUAUAUGCAUCUCCCUCAUUGAGGUGGAAUUCCUUAGUGGUGGAGAUUGUCUGUUUUUUGUCAUUUGUUGAUUGCUGCAUGGAAGGGGAAGGUUAUAGGUAGUUACUGAGUUUGGAGAUGAGCCCUAACCACAGGCAAAGCUGCAAAAAAGAGAGUAUGCUUGUUGCCCCAGCAACAAGAGAUCCAAGAGGGUAAGGCUGGAGUGGGUGGAUGGGGAGCAUCCUCUUAGAGGCAAAGGGGAAGAUUCAUGGGGUGGGGCUUGCGGAGGGGAGACCAGGAAGGGGGACAACAUUUGGAAUAUAAAUAAAUAAAAUAAUCUUUAAAAAAAGAAAAAAAAGAGUUAUUAUAUACCCACUUUCCCUUGUCCUAGUGUGCUACAGAAUUAGCUUACAAUAAUGGUCAUUAAUGAAGAUUAGAUUGACAUGUUGGUUUAACACCUGGGUGGACACAGUGAUCCAGAAAGUUAGGGCAUUAACGAAGAAAGCUGUGUUAAACCACAGCCAAAGAACACGCUUUGGGAAAGAGAGCACAGUCAGUGGCCUAAACUCUGAAAUAAGAAGAGAGCUGAUUAUAAAUAGGUUAUUGGAUUUGGCAGGUAUAGGUCACUGUUGACUUACACGAGUGAGUUCCAUAACAUAGCAAAAGUAGACGUCAUGUGGCAAUGAGUUCUAAAAUACAGCAUUCUUCCUCUUAAUUAUGAAACUUGAGCUGAUAUUUUUAUGGAAGCUGGCUGGCAGACAAAAUGUAGCUGUAUCAUCUAAGUAAAGACCUAGAAUCCUGAAUAUGUUACAUUAAUUUAGAGCGGCUCUCUAUAUCUUUUGCCAGUGUGUAGCCAGUGGUAGAAUUGAUUCUUUUUUUUCUAAAGAAAUCUAGAGACUUAAAAGACUAUUGCAGCAACGUUGUGAUCACAGCAACUGUCAGCACCACUGGCGUGCUGACUCAGCAUGGCAGAUACCAUGUUUUUCAUAAUUGUUUUUGAUUAUCCAUUCUUCAGAAAUAAAACAUCAAUGCCAUCUCAACAUGGUGUCCCACGUAUGACAAAACAUGGUAAUAAAGCAGGGAACAGCAUAGUUUAUAUACAUCUCCUAAAGUGUUUGCUUCUAGUAUAGCUAAUGUUCUUUCAGUAAGUUUUAGCAAUAUCAGAACUCUUUCUCACCCGUCUUUCAACAAUCACAUACAAAGUUGUCUUAAAAAUCACAUACAAAGUUGUCUUAAAAAUAAUUUAAGCAACCCAACAUGCAUGCAAAAUGGGUUCCAUCCCCAGUACCACAGAAACUGGGUAUAGUGGUGCAUGCCUGUCAUCCUAAGCACUUGGGAGGUGGAGGCAGGAGAAUCAGAAGUUCAAGGCCAUCCUCAUUACCUGGUGAGUUGAGGCCAGCCUGAUAUGCUGACUCAGACAGAAAUGGCUCUGUUGGUAGUUAUUAGGUCCUAGCCAAGCACUGUCAUUUUCAUCUGGAACAUACAAUGAUGAUGUAUUUAUGAUGUAUUCUCACUAAGGUUCACAAUCUGUAACUCAGUUCAACACAGAUCUCUUGAGCUUUAAAAGGUAUUUGAAGUAAUUUAAGUCGGCAUUCAAAAUUAUGAAUUAGAUGUUUUUAAAUUUCUGCAUAAUAAUUUUGCACUGUAAAAUAUGUCCUUUCUCCCAUUUCCUUCUGCCAUUCUGAUAUGCUCAUUAAAAUAUUUUUGUAAGCAUAAAAAAA